AUGAACGCUGGCGGCGUGCCUAAUACAUGCAAGUCGCGCGAACAGACGAGGAGCUUGCUCCUCUGACGUUAGCGGCGGACGGGUGAGUAACACGUGGAUAACCUACCUAUAAGACUGGGAUAACUUCGGGAAACCGGAGCUAAUACCGGAUAAUAUAUUGAACCGCAUGGUUCAAUAGUGAAAGACGGUUUUGCUGUCACUUAUAGAUGGAUCCGCGCCGCAUUAGCUAGUUGGUAAGGUAACGGCUUACCAAGGCAAUGAUGCGUAGCCGACCUGAGAGGGUGAUCGGCCACACUGGAACUGAGACACGGUCCAGACUCCUACGGGAGGCAGCAGUAGGGAAUCUUCCGCAAUGGGCGAAAGCCUGACGGAGCAACGCCGCGUGAGUGAUGAAGGUCUUCGGAUCGUAAAACUCUGUUAUUAGGGAAGAACAAAUGUGUAAGUAACUAUGCACGUCUUGACGGUACCUAAUCAGAAAGCCACGGCUAACUACGUG
rnacentral:rRNA from 1 species